GAAAUGCGAUAAGUAAUGUGAAUUGCAGAAUUUAGUGAAUCAUCGAAUCUUUGAACGCAUAUUGCGCCCCUUGGUAUUCCGAGGGGCAUGCCUGUUCGAGCGUCAUUAGUAAUACUCAAGUUUUGCUUGAUAUUGGGUUACACUAGUAAUAGCUAACCUUAAAACUAGUGGUGUUAUCACUAGGUUUCAAGUAUAGUAAAUUUAUUACUUGGAGACUUUGUGGUUAAAAACCAUUAAUUCUAAAUCUUUAAGGUUGACCUCGAAUCAGGUAGGAAUACCCGCUGAACUUAA
rnacentral:misc_RNA from 1 species